AUUCAGAAGCAAAUCAAAACUCGUCUUUUAAGCUUUAGCGCUCUCCUUCUCUCUCUCUCUCUCUCUCUCACACACACACACACACUCUUCCUUUUGACAUCCUGUAAAUUUUCCUCAAAACCCUAAUUUUCUCCCUUUCCCAACAUCAAUUAUCAAUUCAAAAUCCUUUUGUUAGAUCUCUUGGUCCAUUUUCCAGCUAUUUUUUCCAUUUUUUGUUAGCAUUAAUCCCAAGAAGAUGAAAAGACGAUCCAAUUCUUUGAAUUCCGUGAAAAAUCUUCAUAAUUCCCCUCUAUUCCUUCUCAAACUUUGAUGGGUUUGUGACUUUUCACAGAAAGAUUGAUUUUUUAAUUGUUUUGUGUGUGUAUAAGUUUCCUCUGCCUGUAUAUUUGCAGACAAGAAAGCUAUUUGAGUGAUACACUGCAAGUAAUUUGAAAAAAAAAAAGGUUCUAGAAUUAGGGGAGGAAGAAAUUGUGCUUAUGGCUGGUUCGAAAAUGGAGGGGUCAUCAGCUCCAGCUGUAAGGAGAGACCCAUAUGAGGUAUUGUCUGUAGCAAGGGAUUCAUCUGAUCAAGAGAUUAAAAGUGCUUACAGAAAGCUUGCACUCAAGUAUCAUCCUGACAAGAAUGCUAACAAUACCUGAAGCUUCAGAACUCUUCAAAGAGGUUGCAUAUUCCUAUGGUGUUCUAUCUGAUCCAGAAAAAAGGAGGCAAUAUGAUAUGGCAGGUUUUGAGGCUAUUGAUGCUGAAGGAACAGAUAUGGAAAUUGAUUUGUCUAAUCUUGGAACUGUCAACACAAUGUUUGCAGCAUUGUUCAGCAAGUUGGGCGUUCCCAUCAAAACGACUGUGUCUGCUAAUGUUCUUGAAGAAGCUUUGAAUGGAACUGUCACAAUCCGCCCUCUUCCAAUCGGGACAUCACUUAGUGGAAAGGUUGAAAAGCAAAGUGCCCAUUUUUUCGGUGUAACGAUUAGCAAUGAACAAGCAGAGGCAGGGCUUGUAGUUAGAGUUACUUCAGCAGCUCAAAGCAAGUUUAAGCUACUGUAUUUUGAACAAGAUGCAAAUGGAGGUUAUGGCCUGGCUUUGCAGGAAGAUAGUGAGAAAACGGGUAAGGUAACGUCAGCAGGAAUGUAUUUCCUGCACUUUCAGGUGUACAGAAUGGAUUCAACUGUAAAUGCGUUAGCAAUGGCUAAGGACCCUGAAGCUGCUUUCUUUAAGAAGCUGGAGGGCCUUCAACCUUGUGAGGUCUCAGAACUAAAAGCUGGCACUCACAUAUUCGCUGUUUAUGGAGAUAAUUUCUUUAAGCCAGCUACUUAUAUAAUUGAGGCUCUUUGUGCCAAGUCAUAUGAGGAUACUACUGUUAAGCUCAAGGAAAUCGAGGCUCAGAUUUUGAGGAAGAGAAAUGAGCUUCGGCAGUUUGAAAUCGAAUAUAGAAAGGCAUUGGCACACUUCCAGGAAGUAACCAACAGAUACAGCCAAGAGAAGCUGUCUGUCGAUGAGAUGCUGAAACAAAGAGACAGCAUCCACUCUUCAUUCACAGUUUCAAGGUCAAUUGCUAAUCUAAGCGGCAGUGGAAGCGGGCAUUUCAGUAAUGGAAGUAGCAGUAAAGUCCUUGGCGAAGAUUAUAAAACCGAUAGUCCAGGGGAAGAUGGAAGCUCAGACUCCAAAGACAAGUCAUCAAAGAAAAGAUGGUUCAACCUUAACCUUAAAGGAUCCGAUAAAAAGAACUGAAAAGUCGACGAUUAUCUAUGUUCUAUACUUGAUCCCAAAUCAAACGCCAAGGGGGCAGGUAUUGCGCUGCCGGAACAAGUCCCUUCAUAUAUUCUUUGUUCUAUUUGUUAGUUUGUGCUUUUACCAGAUGCAUUUUGUCUUUAGGGAAGUGAUGUUUGGAAUAUAUAUUUAUAGGUGGUGUUUUUUGUGUUUGUAUGCAUGAUUCUUGUGAUGUACCAUAAAACUAGGCUGAUCUUCAGCUGUCAAUCCAUAUAAGAUUAUAGAAUUAAGAAGGUGUUGUAAUUUUAGUCUAUGGACAUGUUCUUUUUUUGGUUGGCAUUGUGAAGUUGUAAUAUUUCAAUGGUGGGAAUCUCAAUUCUUACAAAAAAGAAAAAUUAACUUU